AUACGUAGGGGGCGAGCGUUGUCCGGAAUUACUGGGCGUAAAGGGCGUGUAGGCGGCCGCGCAAGUCAAGUGUGAAACGCCACGGCUUAACCGAGGCAUUGCACAUGAAACUGCGUGGCUUGAGUGCAGGAGAGGGAAGUGGAAUUCCUAGUGUAGCGGUGAAAUGCGUAGAUAUUAGGAGGAACACCAGUGGCGAAGGCGACUUUCUGGACUGUAACUGACGCUGAGGCGCGAAAGCGUGGGUAGCAAACAGGAUUAGAUACCCUGGUAGUCCACGCUGUAAACGAUGGGUACUAGGUGUGGGUAGUUCACUCUAUCCGUGCCGCAGCAAACGCAAUAAGUACCCCGCCUGGGGAGUACGGCCGCAAGGUUGAA
rnacentral:rRNA from 1 species